AUCGGUCGGCGUGGCCAGAUCCCUGAUCGUGUGGCCUACAGUUGGCCGCUUCUACUGCUUUUAAGUGCAUUGCUUGUGUGUGCAAAACGGAUCCUUUCGGUUACUCAGCUCUAUUGGUUUUCUUCUGUGCACCCUUCUGCAUCACACUCCAUCAACUCCACGCAUCCCCGAAAAGUUCGCAUCCGCAGCGUGGGCAUCCGUAUCGAAUUGCAGUUGGCCGCCGGUCCAUUAGGCGUCCACUUGGGUCGCCCAGUGCUUUUAGCCAAGAGAGGAUGGGGCUGCAAAAACAAUGCCGGGAAGGAACGCCCGCAAUGCCAAAUAUUGUUUUGGGCCGAUAGCUUUGCGGCAGAUAGACGGCGCUUUAUGGAGUCGUCGACGUUUUGUAAAUUGAGCUGCUAAUGGCCCGGGCACACAAUGCCAAACAAAUACAAUGGCUGAUGAGCACAAAG